rnacentral:tRNA from 1 species
CGGCAGGUGACUGAAAGCAAGUGUGGGUCUUUUAAACCUAUUAUAGUAGUGCGACUACUCCUGACGA